GGCGCGUUCGUCUAGGGGUUAGGACACGGCCCUUUCAAGGCCGGAACACGGGUUCGAAUCCCGUACGCGCCA
rnacentral:tRNA from 1 species